CAAAAAACACCAUUCAAAUGAUAUUUAAAUACCAUGUUCAUUGACCCAAAAUUAUAUAUGACCUUGAUAAUGUGACCUAAGGCUUGUGCAAGAUGAUCUGUGAUAAUUGUUUACCCCUAUGUCCAAAUUUCAUGAACUAUAUCCAAAUAAUUUCAAAGUUAUGAUGACAAUUCAACAAACACCCCCAACAUGGCCAAAGCUCAUUGACCUUAAAUGAUUAUAGUCAUGUGACCUGAAACCCAUGCAAGAUGUUCACUGAUACUAGAUUACUCCUCUGUCCAAGUUUCAUGAACUAGGUCCAUAUAUUUUCUAAGUUAUGAUGACAUUUCAAAACAUAAUAUCAGAUUUUGAUGUUGAUUGCCCUAACAUGUUCUAAGUUCAUUGACCAUAAAGUUAAUUAAUACUUACAGUAAUUACCCUUAUGUCCAAGUUUUAUGAACUAGGUCCAUAUAUUUUCUAAGUUAUGAUGACAUUUCAAAAACUUAAUUUAAGAUUUUUAUGUUGAUUCCCUGAACAUGACCUAAAUUCAUUGACCCUAAAUGACCUUUGACCUUGGCCAACAUUAAGUAAUACCUGAUUACCUGUAUGUCCAAGUUUCAUGAACUAGGUCCACAUACUUUCUGAGUUAUGAUGACAUUUCAAAAACUUAUCCUUUGGUUAAGAUGUCAAUGUUGACGAUGCCACCGCCGCUCUGCUAUGCAGGCAAGACAGAAAUGAACUUGAACUAGAUCCACUGAGAAUUCCUCUAAUGCCACCUCAAUGAGACCAACACUCUCACAAGACAUCAGCAUUUGUGGGUCCAAGAAGUGAGUGACUUGUAUGAGGAUUUGAAGAGCUCUGGAUAUCAUGUGUGAGCUUAAAAGAACACCAUUCCUUGUGAUCAGACAGUACUUGAAGAUUAUCGCAACAUUAGCAGUUUUCAAACACUAAAUAUAGACAUCAAAUGCAACUGAAACAAAUUUCUGGAAUUCAGCAGUGAUCUCUUCAAACAUACGUCACCAGUUGCUCUCUCUUCUCUUUGUGUAGAAAAAAUAUAUACCUGCGUCUAUUUGGAGUGCAAACCAGUUUAAGAUCGAUCUUGAUCAAUGACACCAAGUUCCAAAGCCACAUUGACUAACCUGCUCCAUCAAUAUAUCAUUAUAAAGGAUAACCUGAAACACUACACUGACAAGCCUCUAGAAAUCAAAAUUUGACAUUGCACUUCUAACACAAGAUUCCAGACUUACAUAUAUUGCUCUGAUUGAAGGAGCAUUUUUUUUGCAAAUUGUGAAAAACCAUUGAAGUGCACAACCCUCA